GACGAACGCUGGCGGCGUGCUUAACACAUGCAAGUCGAACGAAGUGGCGAACGGGUGAGUAACGCGUAAUCAACCUGCCCUUCAGAGGGGGACAACAGUUGGAAACGACUGCUAAUACCGCAUACUGAAGGAGGGGAUUGCGGCUGGUUAGCUAGUUGGAGGGGUAACGGCCCAACAAGGCGAUGAUCAGUAGGCGGGCUGAGAGGAGGAAAGGGCAACAUGGGAAUGAGGCACGGGCCAGACUCCGUCGGGAGGCAGCAGUGGGGAAGCCUCCGGAAUGGACGAAAGUCUGACGGAGCAACGCCGCGUGAGGGAUGACGGCCUUCGGGGUGUAAAGCUCCGUUAAGCGGGACGCGGUACCGGAAUAGAAAGCCACGGCUAACUACGUGCCAGCAGCCGCGGUAAUUC
rnacentral:rRNA from 1 species